UACAGAGAGUGCGAGCGUUAAUCGGAAUUACUGGGCGUAAAGCGUGCGUAGACGGUUAUUUAAGUCGGGUGUGAAAGCCCCGGGCUCAACCUGGGAAUUGCAUUCGAGACUGAAUAGCUAGGGUACGGUAGAGGGAAGCGGAAUUUCCGGUGUAGCGGUGAAAUGCGUAGAUAUCGGAAGGAACAUCAGUGGCGAAAGCGGCUUCCUGGACCAGUACCGACGUUCAGGCACGAAAGCGUGGGGAGCAAACAGG
rnacentral:rRNA from 1 species